rnacentral:rRNA from 1 species
GAUGAACGCUCGCGGCAGGCUUAACACAUGCAAGUCGAGGGGUAUAGUUCUUCGGAACUAGAGACCGGCGCACGGGUGCGUGACGCGUAUGCAAUCUCCCUUUUACAGGGGAAUAGCCCAGAGAAAUUUGGAUUAAUGCCCCAUAGUAUAGUUUAUUCGCAUGAGUAGAUUAUUAAAGUUCCAACGGUAAAAGAUGAGCAUGCGUCCCAUUAGCUAGAUGGUAAGGUAACGGCUUACCAUGGCGACGAUGGGUAGGGGUCCUGAGAGGGAGAUCCCCCACACUGGUACUGAGACACGGACCAGACUCCUACGGGAGGCAGCAGUGAGGAAUAUUGGUCAAUGGACGCAAGUCUGAACCAGCCAUGCCGCGUGCAGGAUGACGGUCCUAUGGAUUGUAAACUGCUUUUGUACGAGAAGAAACACUGCUACGUGUAGCAGCUUGACGGUAUCGUAAGAAUAAGGAUCGGCUAACUCCGUGCCAGCCGCCGCAGUAA